rnacentral:rRNA from 1 species
ACGUUGCUCGGAAUCAUUGGGCGUAAAGCGCACGUAGGCGGUUCGUUAUGUCGGAUGUGAAAGCCCUUGGCUUAACCGAGGAAGUGCAUCCGAAACUGGCGAGCUAGAGUACUAAAGAGGAUCGCGGAAUUCCCGGUGUAGAGGUGAAAUGCGUAGAUAUCGGGAGGAACACCGGUGGCGAAGGCGGCGAUCUGGGUAGAUACUGACGCUGAGGUGCGAAAGCGUG